GAUGAACGCUGGCGGCGUGCCUAAUACAUGCAAGUCGAGCGGAAGGGCGCGAAGCUUGCGGCUCUGAUGUUAGCGGCAGACGGGUGAGUAACGCGUGGAUAACCUACCUGUAAUACUGGGAUAACUACGAGAAACCGGCGCUAAUAGCGUAUGAUAUUUUGAACCACGUGGGGCAAAGGUGAAAGACGGUCUUGCGGUCACGUAUAGAUGGAUCCGGGCUGGAUUAGCUAGUUGGUAAGGUAACGGCUUACCAAGGCAACGAUGCAUAGCCGACCUCAGAGAGUGAUAGGCCACAUUGGAAGGUAGCCACGGUCAUGACGCCUACGGGAGGCCGCAGUAGGGAAUGUGAGGCAAUGGGCGAAAGCAUGACGGAGCAACGCGGCGUGAGUGAUGACGGCCUUCGGAUCGUAAUACCCUGUUAUUAGGGAAGAACCGAUUUCUCAUGAACCGUGGCGUGAUUGACGGUACUUAAUAAGAAAGCACCGGCUAACUACGUG
rnacentral:rRNA from 1 species